GAUGAACGCUGGCGGCGUGUCUAAUACAUGCAAGUCGAGCGAACAGACGAGGAGCUUGCUCCUCUGACGUUAGCGGCGGACGGGUGAGUAACACGUGUAUAACCUACCUAUAAGACUGGGAUAACUUCGGGAAACCGGAGCUAAUACCGGAUAAUAUAUUGAACCGCAUGGUUCAUUAGUGAAAGACGUUUUUUCUGUCACUUAUAGAUGGAUCCGCGCCGCAUUAGCUAGUUGGUAAGGUAACGGCUUACCAAGGCAACGAUGCGUAGCCGACCUGAGAGGGUGAUCGGCCACACUGGAACUGAGACACGGUCCAGACUCCUACGGGAGGCAGCAGUAGGGAAUCUUCCGCAAUGGGCGAAAGCAUGACGGAGCAACGCCGCGUGAGUGAUGAAGGUCUUCGGAUCGUAAAACUCUGUUAUUAGGGAAGAACAAAUGUGUAAGUAACUAUGCACGUAUUGACGGUAACUAAUCAGAAAGCCACGGCUAACUACGUG
rnacentral:rRNA from 1 species